rnacentral:lncRNA from 1 species
GAGAAAUUUUAGUGGAGUUUAGGAUUAUUUUUUAGUAUCUUUACAAAUAUUAUAUUAGAUAAAAAUGUACAAAAUUUAUUCAAAUUAUGGACCAUUUUGAUUUAGCUAUUGAAUCUUUUAAAAUUUUAUUUUACUACCCAGUCUUUUAAUUUAUUUAUUUUGCGCCAGUCAAUCACAGUUUGACUUCAAAAUUUGAAUUUGUUGUUUAUAUUUACAAAUUUAGUUAGUAUAUUUUAUACAAUUCAAAACUAUAAACUUAUUAAAGUAAUUAGCAUAACUUUUAAAGUUAAAGUUUCGUUGACUGAUACAAAUCAAACAAACUAAAAAAUUGAAUAGUAAAAUCAAAGUUUUAAAA